CACACACCAACACACAGAACUCAUGAUGGCGUUACCGUUUAAAGUCCAGCAGAUAACGUGGUCGCUCCGUCUCCGCUCCGUCUCCGCUCCGUCAGUCCUCUGCAGCAGAUACUCAAAGAUUCUGUUUCUGCAGGAGGCCGGAGCAUCAGUUUAGCACAGAGCAGGUCGAGCAGGACAGGAAGUCACACACAGAAACAACAUUAUUACAACAUCCGGUUUAUUUUCAAAAUAAAAGACUCUGUUCUGACCGCUCAGAACGAUGACCUUCGGAGUGUUUGUUGAUGUGUUUUUCUUAAGGAUUUUAGACGACAUACAGCAGAUUAUCAUGCGCGAUUCUGUAAUUACCGCGGGACCUCCUGGGUCUCCGGACUCCAGCUGCUAACGGAGCGGAGCGGACACACAGUGACCACGUAUCUGUUGGGCGUUCGGGGUCGGAGCUGUGAACUUUAAUCCAUGAAUCGAUCCGUCAGUGAUGGGACGAUUAGGGUUUGAAGCAUCUGUGGUUCCAGCUUCUUAAUUGUGAAUCCGUGAUGGUCGAUAAAAGGUCGUCAGGUUUCAGGUUUUGUGCAGCCGCCCUCGCUCUGACUUCUCUCCGUUCACAGGUUGUUUAUUGUAAACCUGGAAGUCGAGUUUACGGGUGCAAACUAUAGUUUAUCGUUUUUUUAAAGUUGAUCUUUUAGGUCCUGGAAUCAAACUUGGAGAGCUUCCCUGAACCUCGGUCUGCCUCCUCUUAUGUAACAGAGUUAGGAGAACACAAUAGCAAAGUGUGUGUACCUGAUGGACACAUGCUAACACACACACACACACACACACACACAAGGUAGCUUAGCACGACAUGUCAACAAGGUCAAACUGGAUCUGUCAGGAGUCAAAGAUCAGGCAGUCUGCUGCUGCUGCCCCGACGCUCUUUUCUUCCUCGUGUCCGUCCUGAGUGAGAGCAUCUUUCAGAAACACUCCGACAUGAGACUGUGUGUGUGUGUGUGUGUGUGUGUGUGUGUGUGUGUGUGUGCACAUGUACAUCCUGUGUGUGUUUGUACCUGAGCUUUUCCCUCCACGCGGCCCACCACAUGGACUCUUGGCCGGCCCCCGUCAGAAUCAGGUUUACACGCUCUGUAAUCCUCCGUAAUCUACCGCAAUCCAGUUUAGCUCGUUACUCUAAUCCGCCCGGCGGCCUCUUCUUCAUCUCAGCACGUUCACCUCGUGACAUAUUCACUGCCUCGGUUCUAUCUCUUCCUGCACUUCAACGUCAUAAUAAAGACUUCUAUGAAUUAAAUUCUACAAUUCACUUAUCAGACUCUUUUAUCCAAAGAGACGUACAUCAGAGAGUAAGAACAACACAAGCAAGGAUCUAGAAAAAAGGGAACAAUGUGAGUAAGAGCAAACGAUCAGCUUUGAGUCUGAUUGGACACACAGGUGCUGACAGGAAGUGACCAGAGGCAAAGCACAACAUUGAGGGCAGUUCUUGAGAGCUCUAAUCAGUAUAGAAACCAUCUUAUAAGUCGUCGUUAUCAAACAAAAACCAUCGUCAUUACCAUAAUCAUCAUCAAUAAUAUGGAGACCAUCAUCAUUAAGUUAGUAGGUAUUCAUGAAAGAGCUGGGUCUUUAGCUUUUUCUUAAAGGUGCAGAGGGACUCUGCAGAUCACAUGGAGUUUGGAAGUUCAUUCCACCACCGGGGGGCGACAGAGGAGUCUAGUCAGCGUUUUAGGACCCUGUCAUUUUUACUCCCUUAACGCGUCGCAAACUUCUGAUGACCUUUCAACCUUUCCCCUCACCUUGUUUGUGACAUCACAGAUUUGAAAUGUUUAAUGGGCGGUCACAUUCCUGCAGAAGAAGUGCGGCUGAGGUGAUGGAACGUCUCAUCGACUAGGAAAUGUCCAAAAAUAGAGAAAAUGCUCCAAUUCAGCAUCUUUAAGAGCCAUGUUUAAAGAAAGGUGUAAAUAAAUGAAGUGUGAAGGUUUGAGAACCGUAAAGUAAACCUCUGAAGAAGAAGUGUGUGUGAUCAGCUGAGAGAGGUGUGUGUGGUCACAUGUGGCUGCAGGGAUUCCCAUGUCUGACUCUUGAGCGGCGGCCAGCGCAGCAGGUUUAAUCUGCAGCUCUCUGAAUGGAGGAUGAGACGGAUAGAAGUCUCUGAGAAAACAUGUGUAACCUCCGAGGGCAAAACAACAACACAUGGCACGCCACGGCGCCAAGGUCACAGCGGCCGCGCCAGAGAGGAAGGAGAGCCUGAUGUGUGUGUGUGUGUGUGUGUGUGUGUGUGUGUGUGUGUGUGUGAGGCUCAACGCUGGAGUCUCUGCAGCCCUGCAGCGUUCUGCCCCUUCCAGAAGGCUUCCAGAGAGCCGGCCAAUCAGAAGAGAGCGGGUCCGUUAAACAAACUUUUUCAGGCAGAGGCUGAAGUCAAGCUUUCAGAGUACCGGAUUCAUGACGUGUUCCUAAAAACCAAGCCCUUCCAGAGAGGGGGCGUGGUCAGACGCAGCUCAUUUACAUAUUUAAAGGUACAGAC